rfam:Danio rerio chromosome 4, GRCz11 reference primary assembly.
GGCUCUGUGGCGCAAUGGAUAGUGCAUUGGACUUCUAGGCUGUGAGCUGAGCCGUUCAAAGGUUGUGGGUUCUAGUUCCACCAGAGUCG